AUUUAUGCCCUUUUUGGCAGUGACGACUGUCUCUCUGAUCAGUGUCUGAGUGCUAUGAAGAUCACACACAGAGGUCCAGAUUCAUUUCAUCUUCAGGAUGGCAACAGAUACAUGAACUGCUGCUUUGGAUUUCACUGGUUGGCAGUGGUUGACCAGCUGUUUGUAAUGCAGCCAAUUUGAGCAAAGAAACAUCCUUACUUGUGGCUCUGUUACAAUGGUGAAAUCUACAACCACAAGGAGAAGAAACAUUAUUUUGAAUUUAAUCACUAGACCAAAAUUAAUGGUGAGAUCAUCCUCCAUUGUUAUGACAAAGGAGGAACUGAGCAAAUAAUUUGUAUGUUGGAUGGGGAGCUUGCAUUUAUUUUAUGGGAUACCACCAAUAAGAAAGCGUUCCUGGGCACAGACACCUAUGGAGUCAGACCUUUGUUUAAAGCCAUGCUAGAAGAUGGAUUUUGGGCUCUGUGUUUAGAAGCUAAAGGUCUUGUUAACCUGAAGCACAUCACAACUCCUUUAUCAAAAUGGAGCCUUAAAAAAAAAAAAAAAAAGUGGACCCUUUUCUUCUGGGACACUAUCAAAUUUUGGAUUUAAAGUCAAGUGACAAAGUUGCGUUCGUGGAAAUGGUUAAAUAUCCUCACUGUAGAGACAAACACCUGCAUGCUGUCUCUAACAGUGUGGAGAAACUACUCCCAGGUACUGAUGUGGAAACUGUGGAGAGAAGUUUCCAGAUCCUUUUUGACAAUGCUAUUAAGAAACAUUACGUGACAGACAGAAGGACUGGAUGCCUUUUAUCAGGGGGCUUGGAUUCCAGCUUGGCUGCUUUCACCCUGUUGAAGCAGCUAAAAGAGGCUCUGGUACAGGAUGCUCUCCAGACAUGUGCAAUUGGCAUGGAAGAGAGUCCCCAUUUCCUGGCUGCUGGAAAGGUAGCAAAUGAACAUCAUGAAGUCCUUUUUGACUCUGAGGAAGGCAUUCAGAUACUGAAUAAAGUCACAUUUUCCUUGGAAACUUAGGACCUUACAACAGUUCACACUUCAGGAGAUAGGUAUUUAAUUUCCAAGUACAUCUGGAAGAACACAGAUAGCAUGGUGAUCUUCUCUGGAGAAGGUUGAGAUGUACUUCUACAGAGUUACUUAUCUUUCCACGAAAACAACUUCUUCUAAAACGGCCAAUGAGAGUGAGAAACUUCUGAAGGAACUCUGUUUGUUUGAUGUUGUUCUCCACACAGAUCAAACUACUGCUACCCAUGGACUUGAACUGAGAGUCCCAUUCCUGGAUCUUUGAUUUUCUUCCUAUUACUUGUCUCUGCUACCAGCAAUGAAAAUUCCAAAGAAUGGGAUAGAAAAACAUAUCCCAGGAGAGAAUAUUCAAAGACUCUAAUCUGAUCCUUAAAGAGAUUCUCUGGUGACCAACAGAAGCCUUCAGGGAUGGGAUAACCUUAGUUAAUAAUUGCUGGUUUAAGAUUUUACAGGAAAAGGGGCACCUGCAGGUUGAUGAUGCUAUUAUGGUGACUGCAAGAAAAAAAUUCCCCUCGGUACUCCUCAAACUUACAAAGGCGAUUACUACCAUUAGUCUUUGAAUGCCGCGACCCAGGCCAGACUGACCAGCUGACCAGUUACUGGAUGCCCAAGCAGAUCAGUGCCCCCAACCCUCCUGCCUGCACUCUGACCCAUUACAAGCUACCAAAGCUGAGACAUUCCCUAACGUAUAGACGGAAAGUAAAUGUUCCUUCUCGUGAAGGCCAGUGGGACUAG